GGAGUGUUUGCUCUGCACCCGGCUGCAGCCCCAGGCGGGUGCUUUUUCCAUCUGCCAGAGAAACAUUCCAGGGUACUGUGGCCAUCAUGAUCUGUCAAGGGUGAUGCAGCUGCCCAGGAUUACAGGA